AAAAACCAGGGACACUGAAAACACAGACUCAACUUAUUUUAAGUUUAUAGUAAGAAACUGACGGGCCUUCAGGGCCUUUAAAGAUACUGAGCUAAUGCCUAGUAUGUAUAGGUUUAUAACAGAAAUCUCAACUAAUGAACACUUUUAUUUCAAACUUUUAAACAAACAAAAUAAUAAUCAUUCAAAUAUAUCUACAGUAGCUUUAAGAAAUGAAUGGUAAUCAUUUUGCUUGCAUUUGUGAUUAUUGACAUGUUGACCCAUUAAGUCUAAUUUCUAUAAAUAAUUUAUGUCAGUGUGUUCCUGGUGUUUCAGACCCAGACAGGUCACAGAUUGACUGGUCAUCUGAGCCGUCAUACUUCAUCAGCAAAUUCGUUGACUACAUGUUGGGUGACAAUUUGGUCAAAUCCAGGGCUAUGUAUUACUCUUCAACCACUUUUAACACUGAAUAAAAGCAUCAUGAUCACACAGACAUGGAUCUAUGACUAUACUGAUGAACACAGGAACACACUGGGUUACAUAACAUCUUCUUUUCUCGCAGCAGGAAGGAAAGUCUGAGGUGGAAGUAGAGAGCAGCAACAGGAGCAGCAGUAACAGUACUGACAACCCACAUUGUGUUUACUCUGAAAACUGAGGCUUAGGUGGUCCACCUGUUGGAACAAACCUCUCUCCCUGACUUGUCUGAAAGGCUCUAUGAUGAUCAGGUCCAUCCAAAGGCUCCGCAAAUGCAUCAGAAUAUGGAUUCUCCAGAACUUUGAGGAGCGCGUUGACCUACAGGACAAGCUCCUUUAGCCGUCCCAUCAGUUCCAGUUGCUGGGACACAGCUGGCCUGUCGGCCACCAUCCCAAACAUGACUGGGUUAGUUUGUGCCAUGGACAGAAUCAUCGCCAAUUCACUAGAAAUGAGGAAAUGCUAGAGGUAAGUGAUGUUGACCACCGAUAUAGCUCUAGUCCUACAUUAUGUUCCAUGUUCACCUGCUACAGUCUCAACAAAAAUCCUUCCAAAUGCUACAAAACACACCUUUAACUUACAUAUUGUCUUGGUAAGCUUUUUCCCCAAAAUGCUAGCAUAUAAAAGGAAAAACAAAUUAGAGGACAAGAGAGAUUUAGACAUUUUAACCAGUGCUUUGCUCAGCUAGCAUUACAUGCACAUUCAUUGGGAGUAUAUGGUGGGGCAGCUAGAUACUUUAAAUUCCUGCUAUACAGCAGCUGCUCUGUAAAGAAACUUUUGUAUCCAACCACCAUACACUCCCUCACCGGUUCUCCAUAGUUGGCUUAUUAGCCACCUUUAGCUCCUCAAUAGAGGCACACUGCUCUAGGAUGAGGUCUACUACUGGCUCCACUGUGGCCCUCCCACUGUGGCCCUCGUCAGGCCAGGGGACACGGCUCAGCAGGCGGAAGGUGUUGGUGAAAUCUGCACCUAGAAACACAUUUUGUUAUAGUCCCAUGCCCAGAAUGUAAAAGCGUAACUGACACAUUUUCAUAGAUUUCUAUUUUCAGAGAUGUCUAACACAUAACUGAAAUGUCAACGGUACCAUUUAAUGAGAUAUUUGAUGAACAUUAAAGUAUUUAAACCUGUUGUAGCAGAAACCCAAAAUAUAGAAGUAUGAACGUGAACAUGAGCGUAAUAUGGGACCUUUAAGUUGUCUGUCUUUAUACCAGUGUUGUGCAUAAGGCGCAGUAGGUCUGAUAUGAGUUCGCUGUCCUCCGGCUCUUCUUUUCCCACAAGGCCUAGCUUUUUCCUCAUGAUACACAGGUAGAAGGCUUCGUAUGUGGGCAUGAAUUGAUCCAGGACAGCCCCGGCCUCGGCUGCAUCCAGCUCAGAGCCCAACGCCUCGGCCAGACAGGCCAGGUUCCAGCGGCACAUAGAUGGCUGGGCUUGGUACGAGUAGCGCCCUCUUUUGUCGGAGUUGUUGCAAACGAAAUCUGGAUCAAACCUGACACACGGGUGGGGAGUUUCAUACAGAAUAGGAUUUGAGUUAAUAUAUAAAUACUUAUCUUCUUUUUACUUACUGUAUGUCAAACUGAUUUUUACUUUUAGAAGAGGUUUUUCAGAUUCAAGGAAAGUGUAAAAGCUAAGAACACACUUGUCAAAUAAGUGUACUGCCACUUUCAGCAGCUUACCUGUCCAUGAAACCAAAGGGUCCAUAGUCCAGAGUAAGACCCAAGAUGCUCAUGUUGUCUGUGUUAAGGACGCCAUGGCAAAAACCGACACACUGCCACUGGGCCACUAGCUUAGCGGUUUGCAUCAUCACCUGGUGAUGGUUAAUAUGGAAAAGCACCAGCAUGAAAUGAACCAACCUACAGGGGAGACAUUAUUAGCACAUUGUAUUAACACCCUAGUCCUCACCUCUUUGAAAAAAGCCAUAUUCCUGUCUUUCCGGUUGCUAGUAGUCUGUUGGAUAUAAGGAUAAAAAGUCUCAAUGACAUAAUCCAGCAGCUGAGCGCGAAUGUCAUGCCGUCCUGCACUGGGACCCUGCAGGCCCGAGAAAUCAUCUCGGCCCAGAAAGAUCUCAAAAGAUCCAAAUCUAAAACCGAGAGAGGGACAUAAUAAAACAUCCAUAUGUAUCCACAGGUGGCCAACUGUCUGAAAACACUAGAAAUGUGUCCUACCUGAUGAAGGACGGGGCGAGACGCAGGACGACUGAGCAGCGCUCGGGAAUGCGCCUGCCGCUGUUGAGUGGAUCUCUGGUGACGUACAGGUCGGAGGUGACUAGCGAGGCUGCACGGGUGCUGGGUAUCCCCAGGGCGGCCAUGGCCUCGCUGCACAGGAACUCUCUGAUGCUGGAGCGAAGCACCUUCCUGCCAUCACCAUCUCUGACAAAAUGGGUUUGUAUGUUAUUCAGAGGUGAUUCACCAGUGAGUUAAAUAUGUUGUGUCAUUUGGGUUAAUUAAUUCAAUUAUUCCAUGAAAACGUAAUGCUAUUAUAUUACACCAGUAGUUGAACUUGCAAACUCAAAAGUUCUGGUAAAGUUCCAAAACAAGAGCUUUUUAAUGUCAAACUACUACUACUUAGUACCUGAAUUGGACUAAAAAAGGUACCAGUACACUAAUUCAGCAGUUCCAUGAACUGAUGGCCUGUCUAGCUUUGG